CUCACACAUAUCACACUCUGCACUCUCACACACAUCACACUCUGCACUCUCACACAUAUCACACUCUGCACUCUCACACACAUCACACUCUGCACUCUCACACACAUCACACUCUGCACUCUCACACAUAACACACACAGCACUCUCACACACAUCAAACACAGCACUCUCACACACAUACACAGCACUCUCACACUCAGCACUCUCACACAUCACUCUCACUCAUCACUCUCAAACACAUAACACUCAG